AUUGAACGCUGGCGGCAGGCCUAACACAUGCAAGUCGAGCGAGCGGCGGACGGGUGAGUAAUGCCUAGGAACUGCCUGGUAGUGGGGGAUAACGUCCGGAAACGGUGGCUAAUACCGCAUACUAUCGGAUAACCCAUAUGGGAUUAGCUUGUAGGUGAGGUAACGGCUCACCUAGGCGACGAUCCCUAGCUGGUCUGAGAGGAUGAUCAGCCACACUGGGACUGAGACACGGCCCAGACUCCUCCGGAGGCAGCAGUGGGGAAUAUUGCACAAUGGGCGCAAGCCUGAUGCAGCCAUGCCGCUUGUAUGAAGAAGGCCUUCGGGUUGUAAAGUACUUUCAGUCGGGAGGCGUUACCGACAGAAGAAGCACCGGCUAACUCCGUGCCAGCCGCGGCGGUAAUUC
rnacentral:rRNA from 1 species